AGUCGAACGAGGGAAGAGAAGCUUGCUUUUCUGAUCUAGUGGCGGACGGGUGAGUAACACGUGAGCAAUCUGCCUUUCAGAGGGGGAUACCGAUUGGAAACGAUCGUUAAUACCGCAUAAUAUAAUUGAACCGCAUGAUUUGAUUAUCAAAGAUUUAUCGCUGAAAGAUGAGCUCGCGUCUGAUUAGCUAGUUGGUAAGGUAACGGCUUACCAAGGCGACGAUCAGUAGCCGGACUGAGAGGUUGAUCGGCCACAUUGGGACUGAGACACGGCCCAGACUCCUACGGGAGGCAGCAGUGGGGAAUAUUGCACAAUGGAGGAAACUCUGAUGCAGCGAUGCCGCGUGAGGGAAGAAGGUUUUAGGAUUGUAAACCUCUGUCUUCAGGGACGAAAAAAGACGGUACCUGAGGAGGAAGCUCCGGCUAACUACGUGCCAGCAGCCGCGGUAAUACGUAGGGAGCGAGCGUUGUCCGGAAUUACUGGGUGUAAAGGGAGCGUAGGCGGGAUCGCAAGUCAGAUGUGAAAACUAUGGGCUUAACCCAUAAACUGCAUUUGAAACUGUGGUUCUUGAGUGAAGUAGAGGUAAGCGGAAUUCCUAGUGUAGCGGUGAAAUGCGUAGAUAUUAGGAGGAACAUCAGUGGCGAAGGCGGCUUACUGGGCUUUAACUGACGCUGAGGCUCGAAAGCGUGGGGAGCAAACAGGAUUAGAUACCCUGGUAGUCCACGCCGUAAACGAUGAUUACUAGGUGUGGGGGGACUGACCCCUUCCGUGCCGCAGCAAACGCAAUAAGUAAUCCACCUGGGGAGUACGACCGCAAGGUUGAAACUCAAAGGAAUUGACGGGGGCCCGCACAAGCAGUGGAGUAUGUGGAUUAAUUCGAA
rnacentral:rRNA from 1 species